UGAUUAUUGCUGGUUGAAAACUUAACCCAAUACCCCGCUUGGGGCGACUUGAAAUAUAGUCUUCCCUGGCAAUUUUUGAUAGUCUUAUGUGAGA
rnacentral:snRNA from 8 species